UGGUAUCUAAAUGCAGUAAUUUGUUAUUAGCUGAUUGUGAUCAUAAAGAGAGAAAAAUAACAAGCUGAGAGUAAAGAGACCUAGGAGCACGAUUUCUAUCUAUAAUAUGGAUGUCCUAUACAUGGUUUCUAUUGCACAAAUAGGCAAGUAAAAUCCUAUAUCCAUGUUUUCUACCCCAUACCCUUAACAAAGCAUGCAUAACCCUCCCAUUUUAACUAUACACCCCCAUUGUUCUUUACAAGUUAUUAUAGACCAAGUAAUUAAAUUACAGUGGUGAAGAACAAAAUAAGAAGCUAUUCUAUAGGGAGCCUUCAUCCGGACCGAAAUCUCAACCCACACUUUUUUUGAGUUUCACGGCCUUUACUAGGGGUUUGGGUGCGGCAAAGUUCCCUAGGGGUCUCUUGAGACCCCGGCCAAUACCAGGCACCCAAAAUCAAAUCACCAUUGAUAAGUGCAAGUGCAGAAUUGCCAACCUUGUGCAUCAAAGUUCAGUGGGUACUUAAGGCACCCAAAGAAUUGCUUACACCAAGGGGGCAGAACUUAAUUUCUAAGAGCAGUGUGUAAUUGUGAUGGAGUUUGAAGGAGUUGAGCUAGAAACAGUUGAAAGACAGUUUGAGAAAAAUAGUAAUAGCAUAGUGAAAGAG
rnacentral:lncRNA from 1 species